CCUACGGGUGGCAGCAGUGAGGAAUAUUGGUCAAUGGACGAGAGUCUGAACCAGCCAAGUCGCGUGAAGGAUGACUGCCCUAUGGUUUGUAAACUUCUUUUAUAUGGGAAUAAAAUGUUCCACGUGUGCCAUUUUGUAUGUACCAUAUGAAUAAGCAUCGGCUAACUCCGUGCCAGCAGCCGCGGUAAUACGGAGGAUGCGAGCGUUAUCCGGAUUUAUUGGGUUUAAAGGGUGCGUAGGUGGAUUGUUAAGUCAGUUGUGAAAGUUUGUGGCUCAACCGUAAAAUUGCAGUUGAAACUGGUUGUCUUGAGUACAGUAGAGGUAGGCGGAAUGCGUGGUGUAGCGGUGAAAUGCUUAGAUAUCACGCAGAACUCCGAUUGCGAAGGCAGCUCACUGGACUGUAACUGACACUGAGGCUCGAAAGUGUGGGUAUCAAACAGGAUUAGAUACCCUUGUAGUC
rnacentral:rRNA from 1 species